rnacentral:lncRNA from 1 species
UCAAAGGCUAUGAUAGGUUGGCCACAAAUGACGUCAGAAUGACGCAUGUUCUGCCAUUUUCGACCGAAAGAGCUUUGCGAGGAGAGCUGUCAGGAUCGGUUUGACCUAGGUCAAUGAAAUUUGGUCACAAGGUAGUUCCCCGUUUGGGCUAUCGAACGCCGUUUGAAUUUUGAAUAUCGGCCGGUAAUUUUUCGAGAUCUAAGGGGGGGCGAAACGCCCCCCCCCCUUACGGAUGGUAGGGUCCGCCGAUAGCCCUACGGGGCGCGGGUUAUCUUUAGGCGGCGCACAUCGCCAAAACAAAUUUUUCGCUGAAAAAAUCACUUUCAAUGUCAAUUGUUAGUACAAAAAUCGCAUUUGCAUUCCUUUGCACUCGGAUCGUCGUUCGUCGUUCGAGCUCGUCGAAGUAACUUCAGGCGGUUGCAUUAUGAAGCCAAGAACCUUUUUUUUUGUUCGAUCAAAAAACAAGGCAGUCGUCGGGGUGGCUUCGGUUGUGGGGUGACGUUCUGUCCCAUGGCCGCCUGAGAAGGGCGAGGGUUCCAGUUAGCACUUGGUCCACAAGAUAUGCUACCUAGCCAGUGCCACCAACCAACAGGGGCGGAGCUUCCUAUACAGUUGGUGGGGCAGCUGCCCCACCAACUAGGUAUUUUGCCCCACCAAUAAGCGUUUUGCCCCACCAAUAAGCGUUUUGCCCCACCAACUUUAGCUGAUUUCUAAGACUUUGUUGCUUUGCAAAUUAAUCUUUUUUCGCAUUGAAUAGCUUUGGAAUGCCUGUUUGAUGCAAAAUAAUACAUGUUUGUCUGUAAUGAUAGGAAUUGAUUCAGUGUGGCAUUUUAUUCAACUUUAUAAUCGGACAUUGUGGGUUUGACGACUUUUUGCCCCACCAACUUCCUUGGAAAAGCUCCACCCAUGCCAACCAACCGUAAAUGUUCCGCAAAUAGCUCAUAACUGCUAGAACGGUAAUAUUGCAUAUUCCAGCUGCCAUUUCACGCACCGAACGAAAGAUUUCAGCAAUACCGUCAGCCAUAUUAUGCCAUGCUAUAUUACUGCAUUCUUGGCUCUGUUAUUAUUCGCACUAUUCAGAAUACCUAGCAUACAAAUACCUGCACGGAUGUUGGUAAUAUUCUCCUCACCACACCUGCCAAUGAUUGAGUGACUAGAAAACCGCAAUUGGCUUGCGGAUCCGUUCCGAGACACAGCAAAUUGCGUGAAUUACGUGCAUUUAGGGCUACGUUUUGGUUAUUGGUGCGUUUUCUGGCUAUUGGCUUCAUCUUUUGCCGCUUGGUUUACAUUUGUGACAUGAUAUUUUCAAAAAAGCAAUCCAAGUUUCGUUCACUGUUUUCGCAGCGCUACAAUCAUUACACCUGAUGUAUGUACAUUGUACAUCUGUCUUCGUCGCUGUUACUGCUUCAUUGUUUAUUUACUUUACGGUGUGAACACGAACAGUUGUGGCGGCCGAGAUAAAAGAUAAAAAUUGACAAUUAUGCUUUGACGGAAAAGAAAGGCAUUGCAGUUCGAUAUCUGACCGCACACUGAACUGAAAACAAUUCUUAUAGCGAUGUAAAUUCCAUUUUCUGAACAAAAAAGAAACUUGUUAUUUACGAGCGCGGUAACCAUGGCACCAUAAUCUAGGGCGGGAAAAUAAAAGUGAAUCAUGCAAAGCGCAAUAAAACAAGAAUAUAAAAAUGAGAUGAAAUAUGAUAUCGUUGUUUGAAACAUUAGCGAGACCUGCCGCUGCACUUAUUUACGCGUUAUUUUUACCAAUUUCGCAGAUCCAUGACACAGUUUAUCCCGCCGAUUGUUUGCAGGAAGCAGGACUGUCGCCGUUACGACGAUGGCUGCUGAUCCCGUGCUGGAGUUGUUGAAUCUCUGCCGGCUUCCCAACGGACGUCAAUCGCAGGCGGAGGACUGGUUCCGACCUUGCUGAUGUGGUCUUCACCCGGACGUCAUUUCGUUCUUCUGCAAGGCGGUGAAGCAGAUCCCGGGUAGCGCCAGACGGAAUGGAGAUUUCGGUCUGCGUCAAUCUCCAGCGUUUCUGCCACCGAGGGUGAACCACAAGUCACCACGCAAAGGGCUGUUCCUGCUCCAGAGGACAACGCCAUGCGGUUUCGUCUGCUCCCACAUUAAAGCCAGAGGCAGUCACCCGAAUUUCGACUGUUUAUUGUUAUUUUAUGAGACCAACUUUUCGUAUACCGGUGACUUCAUUUCUACCUGUGGGACUUUUUGGAGGAAUCCGCUAACCGCCGCUUGUUUUUGAACACCAGAAUUCGGAAGGUUUUCUUCAAUCAGAAAUCAGCAAAUUGUGCUGCCGGUAUGCAAUCUCACCAAACAGUGCAGAAGCAUCAGAAGUGAACACUGAAAAGCUUGGGCUCCCUGGGCAUUUGCUGAGAGUCGCCAAGGCUGAGCGUAGAUACGUUAUGUCAAAAUGCAUCAGUUUUUUUCUUUGCAAGACAUAGGCCCACUACCCGAAGUCUGUUUUGAAUACAACACUAUGGCAUGUA